ensembl:snRNA
GUGUUGAAUGACAGGAGAAAAGGUUAUAACUCCCUUGACAAGGAUGGAAAAGCCAUUGGGCCAGACAGUAGGAAUAAGAUUAAGACAUUACCACUUUCUUCUAUGACAUCUAACCAUCAUUUUUU